AUGAACGCUGGCGGCGUGCCUAAUACAUGCAAGUCGAGCGAACAGACGAGGAGCUUGCUCCUCUGACGUUAGCGGCGGACGGGUGAGUAACACGUGGAUAACCUACCUAUAAGACUGGGAUAACUUCGGGAAACCGGAGCUAAUACCGGAUAAUAUAUUGAACCGCAUGGUUCAAUAGUGAAAGACGGUUUUGCUGUCACUUAUAGAUGGAUCCGCGCCGCAUUAGCUAGAUGGUAAGGUAACGGCUUACCAAGGCAACGAUGCGUAGCCGACCUGAGAGGGUGAUCGGCCACACUGGAACUGAGACACGGUCCAGACUCCUACGGGAGGCAGCAGUAGGGAAUCUUCCGCAAUGGGCGAAAGCCUGACGGAGCAACGCCGCGUGAGUGAUGAAGGUCUUCGGAUCGUAAAACUCUGUUAUUAGGGAAGAACAAAUGUGUAAGUAACUAUGCACGUCUUGACGGUACCUAAUCAGAAAGCCACGGCUAACUACGUG
rnacentral:rRNA from 1 species